AACGAACGCUGGCGGCGUGCCUAAUACAUGCAAGUUGAGCGGUGAAGGCUGGUUCUUGUACCAACCGGGUGAGCAGCGCACGGGUGAGUAACGCGUGGGGAAUCUGCCUUUGAGCGGGGGACAACAAUUGGAAACGAAUGCUUAUACCGCAUAAAAACCUUAAACACAAGUUUUAAGUUUGAAAGAUGCCAUUUCAUCAUUCAAAGGUGGUUCCGCGUUGUAUUAGUUAGUUGGUGAGGUAAAAGGUCACCAAGGGGAAGAUACAUAGCCGACCUGAGAGGGUGAUCGGCCACAUUGGGACGGAGACACGGCCCAAACUCCUACGGGAGGCAGCAGUAGGGAAUCUUCGGCAAUGGACGAAAGUCUGACCGAGCAACGCCGCGUGAGUGAAGAAGGUUUUCGGAUCGUAAAACUCGGUUGGUAGAGAAGAACGUUGGUGAGAGUGGAAAGCUCAUCAAGUGACGGUAACUACCCAGAAAGGGACGGCUAACUACGUG
rnacentral:rRNA from 1 species